rnacentral:lncRNA from 1 species
CUUGAACCCAGGAGGCAGAGCUUGCAGUGAGCCGAGAUCGCGCCACUGCACUCCAGCCUGGGUGACAGAGCGAGACUCCAUCUCAAAAAAAAAAAAACAAAAAAAAAAAAAAAGAGGAAGAAAGGGCAGACUUGAUAGCUUAUCUCAAAAAAGCUACUAAUGAGUAAUAAUUGGCCACUGCCUUAUUUAUUACAAAACAGAAAUGUCUCAUGACUUUUUUAUGUGUACCAUCCUUUAAUAGAUCUCAUACACCAGAAUUCAGAUCAUGAAUGACUGACAGAAUAUUUUGUUGGGCAGUCCUGAUUUAAAACUAAGACUGGCUUGUGGUUAAAUGAAUAUGUUCAGUUUUUGAUUUUAAUAGUAACUCCAAUUCAGUAAAUGCUAUCACUGUUUACCCCUUCUAAAGAUAUGAUUAGACUUCGUUAGUAAUGUUCAACUUUUCACAAAGAUGGUGAGUGCCAUCUUAAAACUUACUGGAGAUUGGUUUUAUAUUUAGAUUUCUAUAACUGGUUAUGUGAAUAUAUUUAAAUACUGGGGAAAUUCCUACACUGUCUUAGAACCAAGCAAGAUUCACCUGUGUUUUGUGUUCAUUUGCCUCUUAAAGGCAAGGGUUGAAGAUAAGUAAGGGAGCAAUGUCUAUAGUUUUGGCCUUAACUAUAACAAUCUAAUUAUAAUUCCCUGUAUUUAAAAUGGUUCCUUUUACUUAUUGAAAGGCAUUUUAGUGUGGUUUAUGUGUAAUAUUAAAGAUUAUUCAACACCUCUCACAUCUUAUAGAUCUAUAAGGUCACAUGCUUUUAAAAUAGUAGCAAGUUAAACUUCACUCUUGAAUUCUUUACAAUCUAAGUCAAACUAGGUUAUAAUUUAGGAUUGUCUUUAAACAGCCAUUCAGAAACAUAAAACUGUAGAACUGUGUAUUUGUGAUUGGGAAUGGUGCUUUUGCCAACUUAAAAGGAUUAAAGUAAUGGAGAUAUACACAAAUUUUAAAAUUAUGUGUGAUUACAAGACUAAAGAUAAUUAAAAAGAAAACCACACA